CGGGUGCACUGAUCCAGCCCGGGCCUUUCCCUCUGUGGAACCCCAUGGCCUUCACUGGCUGUGGUGGGGAAACAGGACUUUUACUUUGAAAAAAUUAGAGUGCUCCAGGCAGGCCUAUGCUCGAAUACAUUAGCAUGGAAUAAUAGAAUAGGACGUGUGGUUCUAUUUUGUUGGUUUCUAGGACCGCCGUAAUGAUUAAUAGGGACAGUCGGGGGCAUCAGUAUUCAAUUGUCAGAGGUGAAAUUCUUGGAUCUAUUGAAGACUAACUACUGCGAAAGCAUUUGCCAAGGAUGUUUUCAUUGAUAAGGAACGAAAGUUAGGGGAUCGAAGACGAUCAGAUACCGUCGUAGUCUUAACUAUAAACUAUGCCGACUAGGGAUCGGACGAUGUUAUUCUUUGACGCGUUCGGCACCUUUCGAGAAAUCAAAGUGCUUGGGCUCCAGGGGGAGUAUGGUCGCAAGGCUGAAACUUAAAGAAAUUGACGGAAGGGCACCACCAGGGGUGGAACCUGCGGCUUAAUUUGACUCAACACGGGGAAACUCACCAGGUCCAGACACAGUGAGGAUUGACAGAUUGAGAGCUCUUUCUUGAUUCUGUGGGUGGUGGUGCAUGGCCGUUCUUAGUUGGUGGAGUGAUUUGUCUGCUUAAUUGCGAUAACGAACGAGACCUUAACCUGCUAAAUAGCCCGUACUGCUUUGGCAGUUCGCCGGCUUCUUAGAGGGACUAUCGG
rnacentral:rRNA from 1 species